GCAAAAAUUAGAAACAUAAUUUGAGGAACAGAAGUGUCUACGCAUGUGCUUCCAUUAAAAGGUCAUGUGGACGAGAAAGCAAUACUACUGUAUUUGAUGA